AGCGAUAACGGCAAACCCACCGCGAGGUGGGGACGCAAAGCCACGGGACUCACGUAGUCAGCCGGGCUACCGAAC
rnacentral:ncRNA from 1 species